UGCUGUUGAUGGUCACCCCUUUUUGGAAGGUAAACAGACGCUUUGGAACGUGUUUGGCUUAAAGGGACAAGAAGGCAGCAGAGCCCUGGGAACCCAGUGGGAACGCUCCCGGGCACUUCCCUUUCCAGUCCCCAGGACACAGACACCCAGGACCAGCAGGCUGCAGGAGAGGGGACCUUCCUGCAUGGUGCCUCCUGGACGGUAGGAGAGGGGCCCUCACUGGCUGUGACAGACGGGACCACAGUGGACAUGACACUGUAGUUCCCAAGCAGUCCUGGCCAGGAGGGCUACACAGGAUCCCCCUCAGCCAGACCAGAUUCCUGCCUGCUCUGCCUCUCUAGGACAGAGAGUCGCAGCUCAGAAUGUCCUUGAGAGGAUUCCUUGCUCUGUUGAAGACAGGAAGAGAAGAAACCGCAAAGGAAGCGGACGCCACGGUCCACCAGAAAGGCAGCUAGAAACUCUGUAAGACAACUAGCCCGUUGGAAGCGCUCUGUCCUCCUGAAACCGUAGCUCAGACGGAAGGGAACAAUCUGAUCAGAGCAGCGAUUUUCACAGCCCGCUGUGAAACCCCGCAGAGACCCUGCUGGCUGGACUCCAACAAGGCUGGACCUCCAGAGUGGAGCUGCUCACGCUAGGCGUGCCUCGGGACCCCCGGGCACCAGAGAUGCCUUCAAGACCUCAGGGGAACGGACCAGCUGCCAGCCUGCAAAGGACAUUGCACUGAAUAGAUCCCCCGGUUUAUGUCACCUGCAGCCACGGGAGGCAGCCCACUUGGAAGUCAGGUCUUGGGACAGUGGUGACUAAGGGGAGGUCAUCUUGGAGAGGACAGGCCGACCCCAUGACUGGUGUCUUCAUAAGAAAGGGAGCAGACACCACGGGUGCACAGAAGAAGGCAGGGCAGACACUGGGGUGAGAGCCACAAGCCAAGGGGCACGAGGACCAUCGGACACUCAGAGGAAGGAUGGGCGCACCCUCCCUGGAACGCUCCGUGGAUCCUGGCACCGCCGCAGUCGCACAGCCUCCAGGUCUGUGAAAGGGCACGUUUCUGUUGGUUUCAGCCAUUACGUUUGUGCUAACUUCUCACGACAGCCCAGGAAACCAACCCAGAUGCCGAGUCACAACGGUGCAGGGGUCUUAAAGGGGCCUGGUGGCCAUGUCUGUCCAGAUCCUCGCAGGCCCUCCUCACCACGGUGCCACCCCGCCUGGCCCUCGGUGUCCUUCUCGGUCAGCCCACAACUUCACCUUCUCUCUCUUUAGCGAGGCCUCAACCCCUCACGGGGCGGUGGGGACACUGAGUGAGACAGAGGAACCCACCCAGCACCACCCUGCACACCCCGGGGAGCCCCAGCAGCCGUCAGGGGCCCUCCCAGGUGGUCCUUGGGCACGUCUCCACUGCCGCCUGCUCAGGGUUGCAAAGGACACCAGUACAGCCCCAACUCUGGUGUUCUCCCACCACCUCCGCGAGGCUGCCACAUCGGCCACCCUUGUGGUUAGGAAUCAAACGCUUCUGUUAGCAGAGCUCUGCCCUGGAGUACCUGAAGGACCAGCAUCUCUAGCGGUGGGCAGCUGACCUCAGCCGUCUCUGCUGUGGAGGGCGAGGGACAGGUUCCCGGGCAGCACCACCCCACAGAGGCUCCCAGGCCACUGUGCCUCCCUCUGCUACGACGGUUUAUUGGCAACGGCCCGGCCUUCAGGGCACAGCAGUAUCAAGCCGAGCCUUUCAUUUUGAGUGUGAGGAGGACAGGAAGGAACAGUCCCUUCAUGGUCCUAGCCGCUCUCACUGCUGUACUCACGGGACUAAAGCAUCCCAGGACUAAAGUCUUGUCCUCAAAGGACACUCUCCGGAAAGGAAAGCAGAAAGACAGCCACAGAAAGGAAGACGUGUACAAAUCGGAUGUGGAAAGGCCGAAGCAUCCAGAAUACAUAAGGUACUCCUACGGCUCACCACCAGAAAGACCAACAACCCAGUUAACCGUGAGAAGGAUCUAAGGACGUUUCUCCAGAGAAGACAACAGACAGCCAGCAAGCAAUUGAGAGGCGCAGCGCUAGCCCCCAGGCAGCGCAAACCAAGCCGUGGUGACUAGGACUUCACAGCUGCUGGGAUGGCUCUCAUUAGGGACGAGAGGAAAACAUCUUGGCGAGGACACAGAACAGCAGCCCUCGGGCUCCACUGGGGGAGCCAAGCUAGGCCCUUGCCAGAGCCUGCACCCCAGUGUUUGGACCUUGUGCCUGGAGAACUGUGAGUCAAAAAAAAACCUCUUUUCUUUACAAAGUAGCUGCCUCUGGCAUUUUGUUAUAGUAAUGAAAGGCUGACUAAUGUAAACACUGUGUCCUUGGGAUGAAUGGUACCUUCCUGAGCCUGGUAUCCAAGAAUCUCAUGGUUAACAAUGUUUACAAAAGUGAUAAUGAGCACCAUCAGUCAAGUGCCGUGCACUGGGUCAUCUUCUAAGUGCCUAACAUCACUUACUCAUUUAAUUCUCACAACAAUAAGAUUUGGGACUUAUCAUUACCCUCAUUUCACAGAUGAGGAAGCUGAGACACAGAAAUGUUGAGUCCCUUGCUGGAGCCAUACGGUUACAAGGGUGGCACAGCUUCCUCUAUGAACU